UACGUAGGGUGCAAGCGUUGUCCGGAAUUAUUGGGCGUAAAGAGCUCGUAGGCGGUUUGUCGCGUCUGCUGUGAAAACCCGAGGCUCAACCUCGGGCCUGCAGUGGGUACGGGCAGACUAGAGUGCGGUAGGGGAGAUUGGAAUUCCUGGUGUAGCGGUGGAAUGCGCAGAUAUCAGGAGGAACACCAAUGGCGAAGGCAGAUCUCUGGGCCGUGACUGACGCUGAGGAGCGAAAGCAUGGGGAGCGAACAGG
rnacentral:rRNA from 1 species